rnacentral:rRNA from 1 species
GUACACAAAAAUGCACAUAUUGUGAGCUCGAUGAGUAGGGCGGGACACGUGGUAUCCUGUCUGAAUAUGGGGGGACCAUCCUCCAAGGCUAAAUACUCCUGACUGACCGAUAGUGAACCAGUACCGUGAGGGAAAGGCGAAAAGAACCCCGGCGAGGGGAGUGAAAAAGAACCUGAAACCGUGUACGUACAAGCAGUGGGAGCCUCUUUAUGGGGUGACUGCGUACCUUUUGUAUAAUGGGUCAGCGACUUAUAUUCUGUAGCAAGGUUAACCGAAUAGGGGAGCCGAAGGGAAACCGAGUCUUAACUGGGCGUUAAGUUGCAGGGUAUAGACCCGAAACCCGGUGAUCUAGCCAUGGGCAGGUUGAAGGUUGGGUAACACUAACUGGAGGACCGAACCGACUAAUGUUGAAAAAUUAGCGGAUGACUUGUGGCUGGGGGUGAAAGGCCAAUCAAACCGGGAGAUAGCUGGUUCUCCCCGAAAGCUAUUUAGGUAGCGCCUCGUGAAUUCAUCUCCGGGGGUAGAGCACUGUUUCGGCAAGGGGGUCAUCCCGACUUACCAACCCGAUGCAAACUGCGAAUACCGGAGAAUGUUAUCACGGGAGACACACGGCGGGUGCUAACGUCCGUCGUGAAGAGGGAAACAACCCAGACCGCCAGCUAAGGUCCCAAAGUCAUGGUUAAGUGGGAAACGAUGUGGGAAGGCCCAGACAGCCAGGAUGUUGGCUUAGAAGCAGCCAUCAUUUAAAGAAAGCGUAAUAGCUCACUGGUCGAGUCGGCCUGCGCGGAAGAUGUAACGGGGCUAAACCAUGCACCGAAGCUGCGGCAGCGACACUAUGUGUUGUUGGGUAGGGGAGCGUUCUGUAAGCCUGUGAAGGUGGCCUGUGAGGGUUGCUGGAGGUAUCAGAAGUGCGAAUGCUGACAUAAGUAACGAUAAAGCGGGUGAAAAGCCCGCUCGCCGGAAGACCAAGGGUUCCUGUCCAACGUUAAUCGGGGCAGGGUGAGUCGACCCCUAAGGCGAGGCCGAAAGGCGUAGUCGAUGGGAAACAGGUUAAUAUUCCUGUACUUGGUGUUACUGCGAAGGGGGGACGGAGAAGGCUAUGUUGGCCGGGCGACGGUUGUCCCGGUUUAAGCGUGUAGGCUGGUUUUCCAGGCAAAUCCGGAAAACCAAGGCUGAGGCGUGAUGACGAGGCACUACGGUGCUGAAGCGACAAAUGCCCUGCUUCCAGGAAAAGCCUCUAAGCAUCAGGUAACAUCAAAUCGUACCCCAAACCGACACAGGUGGUCAGGUAGAGAAUACCAAGGCGCUUGAGAGAACUCGGGUGAAGGAACUAGGCAAAAUGGUGCCGUAACUUCGGGAGAAGGCACGCUGAUAUGUAGGUGAAGCGACUUGCUCGUGGAGCUGAAAUCAGUCGAAGAUACCAGCUGGCUGCAACUGUUUAUUAAAAACACAGCACUGUGCAAACACGAAAGUGGACGUAUACGGUGUGACGCCUGCCCGGUGCCGGAAGGUUAAUUGAUGGGGUUAGCGGUAACGCGAAGCUCUUGAUCGAAGCCCCGGUAAACGGCGGCCGUAACUAUAACGGUCCUAAGGUAGCGAAAUUCCUUGUCGGGUAAGUUCCGACCUGCACGAAUGGCGUAAUGAUGGCCAGGCUGUCUCCACCCGAGACUCAGUGAAAUUGAACUCGCUGUGAAGAUGCAGUGUACCCGCGGCAAGACGGAAAGACCCCGUGAACCUUUACUAUAGCUUGACACUGAACAUUGAGCCUUGAUGUGUAGGAUAGGUGGGAGGCUUUGAAGUGUGGACGCCAGUCUGCAUGGAGCCGACCUUGAAAUACCACCCUUUAAUGUUUGAUGUUCUAACGUUGGCCCGUAAUCCGGGUUGCGGACAGUGUCUGGUGGGUAGUUUGACUGGGGCGGUCUCCUCCUAAAGAGUAACGGAGGAGCACGAAGGUUGGCUAAUCCUGGUCGGACAUCAGGAGGUUAGUGCAAUGGCAUAAGCCAGCUUGACUGCGAGCGUGACGGCGCGAGCAGGUGCGAAAGCAGGUCAUAGUGAUCCGGUGGUUCUGAAUGGAAGGGCCAUCGCUCAACGGAUAAAAGGUACUCCGGGGAUAACAGGCUGAUACCGCCCAAGAGUUCAUAUCGACGGCGGUGUUUGGCACCUCGAUGUCGGCUCAUCACAUCCUGGGGCUGAAGUAGGUCCCAAGGGUAUGGCUGUUCGCCAUUUAAAGUGGUACGCGAGCUGGGUUUAGAACGUCGUGAGACAGUUCGGUCCCUAUCUGCCGUGGGCGCUGGAGAACUGAGGGGGGCUGCUCCUAGUACGAGAGGACCGGAGUGGACGCAUCACUGGUGUUCGGGUUGUCAUGCCAAUGGCACUGCCCGGUAGCUAAAUGCGGAAGAGA